GACGAACGCUGGCGGCGUGCCUAAUACAUGCAAGUCGAACGCAGUGGGGACGGGUGAGUCACACGUGGGUAACCUCCCAUCAGAGGGGAUAACACUUGGAAACAGGUGCUCAACCGGUACUGAUGGAUGGACCCGCGGUGCAUUAGCUAGUUGGUGAGGUAACGGGUCACCAAGGCCACGAUGCAUAGCCGACCGGAGAGGGGGAUCGGCCACACUGGGACGGAGACACGGCCCAGACUCCUACGGGAGGCAGCAGUAGGGAAUCUGCGGCAAUGGACGAAAGUCUGACCGAGCAACGCCGCGUGAGUGAAGAAGGUUUUCGGAUCGUAAAACUCUGUUGUUAGAGCAGCGGUAUCUAACCAGAAAGCCCCGGCUAACUACGUGCCAGCAGCCGCGGUAAUAC
rnacentral:rRNA from 1 species